rnacentral:misc_RNA from 1 species
UUACGGUGCGACAAAGCUGUUGCAUUACACGCAACAUGUAAUCAAAUGUAACUGCUACAUAAUAAAUAAUAUGAUUAGAGACCACAGUAAAAUUGGUCUAUAAUCGUAAGGAUUUUUAAUUAGAACUCUGCAAUUUGUAACAUAAUUGAGAUAAGAGGCCUUUCUCGAUACUCUCCUGUUAUUCUGUUAGUGUACUUUGGAAAUCGAAGUACUAUAGCGGUUUACGCGGCAGAAAUGGAUUUUAUGGAAAACCGAACGAAGUUAAAGAAAAUUAAACCUAAUAAACAUUUAGAAAAUAGCUUGUCGAUUAUUUAUUAUAUGGGUAUGUGGCCCUCGGAGUCGAAAUACAAACGUUUGUACAUGUUAUACACGGUAUUUAGUUUUAUGUUUUUAUUGGGAAUUUUUCUUGCUAGCCAAAUCGCGUAUAUUAUCGUGAAUCGAAAAAGUGUGGACAAAAUAAUAGCCGGUGCUACUUUACUUAUGACAAAUGCUACUCAUGCUUACAAGGCGAUACUUAUAAUUUGCCAUCAUAAGCGUAUCAAAGAUCUUACAGAUAUAACAAGAAGCGAAACGUUUAUUCAAGAUAAUGGCAAAUACGAGAAAAUUGUAAGGCAUUACACUUGGCAAGGAGUUUUUCAUCAUAUUGCUUAUCAAAGCUUCGGUUUAAUGGCGGUGAUAUCUUGGGGUGUUACGCCGGUUUUAAAUCUACUUACUCAGAGAUCCAAAGAAUUGUCAAUGGAAGGAUGGUAUCCUUAUAAUACAUCGUCGACACCGGCCUUCGAAAUUACUUCUUCGUAUCAAGCUGUAGCUAUUUUUCUUUGCUGCAUUAAUAACGUAGCAAUUGAUACUUUGAUUACUGGUUUAAUCACGAUUGCUUGCUGCCAAUUAGCGAUCUUGAGUUCCAAUAUUGCGUCGUUGAACUGUGCAGAAAAUACGGAACCAAUUGGCAUAAAUAAUAAUACCGACCUUGAGAUAUCUACCUCAAAAAACUAUAAUAAAUUAUACGAAGAUUUGAAAUCUUGCGUCGAACAUAGUAACAUGAUAUUUGAAUUCAAGAUACUUUUGGCACUGUGAUAUUUCUUCAAUUUUUAGUCAAUUGUAUUAUUAUCUGUUUAAUAGCAUUCAAUAUAGCACAGAUGAAAGAUUAUAUUCCAUACGUUUUAUGUGGUAUGUUAAUGUACAUGUGUUGUAUGACAUAUCAAAUUUUUAUCUACUGCUGGC